AUAGCUUCUCAGCUUUAUGGCUAAGAUCCAGUAUAGCGUCUGUUCUUAUCA
rnacentral:snRNA from 1 species